rnacentral:lncRNA from 1 species
CUCUGGUCACCGCGCGAAGUGGGAAGAUCUCCUGGAGAAGGAAAUGGCAACCCACUCCAGUACUCUUGCCUGGAGAAUCCCACGGACGGAGGAGCCUGGUAGUCUACAGCCCAUGGGGUCGCCAAGAGUCGGACACGACUGAUCGAUUUCACUUUCACUUUACUUUCCACGCGAAGUCAUAUCAGAGCACUUUCCACGUGGUGAUGGGCUGGACCACUGACUCCGAAGCGCCUCUUAGUGUGGCUGCCCUGCUUCUUCUCCUGUCUCUCCGGUUCUGCCCGGCGCGAGGCGAAUGAACCACUGUCCAGUGUCCAUUCUCUGAGUCAAAGAGGAGGCACAUUUGUCCACUGAUGCCGAACUGCCAGGAUCCACUGAUGUGUCCAUCCUCUUCACACUGACAUGUCAUCCUGCCCUGCGAGGUCAGUACCCAGGAUCGGCCAACACACAGCCUUUCUGGAUACAUGCCAGACAGCUCUGCAGGAAAAGCCUAGAUGGAAGAGGACUUUCAGAAUCGAACCCGGAGUCCUGCCAGAGAUGGAGAGCAUGUGGGGGCUGCUUCUGAGGAGCAUUUCAUUUCUAGAGCAGAGCCCCUUUUCAGAAUGCAUCCCCAGAGAAGGAAGCUAUGUUUCAGUGGAGUGCCCUUUGUUCACCACAGUAAGUGCAGAAGUCCUUUCCUUCUUUCCCAGUGAGCCGCAUGACCAUGGGCUCAGGUAA